rnacentral:rRNA from 1 species
AUUGAACGCUGGCGGCAUGCCUUACACAUGCAAGUCGAACGGCAGCACGGAUGCUUGCACCUGGUGGCGAGUGGCGAACGGGUGAGUAAUACAUCGGAACGUACCUUAUCGUGGGGGAUAACGCAGCGAAAGCUGUGCUAAUACCGCAUACGCCCUGAGGGGGAAAGCGGGGGAUCGCAAGACCUCGCGCGAUUAGAGCGGCCGAUGCCUGAUUAGCUUGUUGGUGGGGUAAAAGCCCACCAAGGCGACGAUCAGUAGCUGGGCUGAGAGGACGAUCAGCCACACGGGGACUGGGACACGGCCCAGACUCAUACGGGAGGCAGCAGUGGGGAAUUUUGGACAAUGGGGGCAACCCUGAUCCAGCAAUGCCGCGUGAGUGAAGAAGGCCUUCGGGUUGUAAAGCUCUUUUGUCAGGGAAGAAACACCGGCUCUAACACAGUCCGGGAAUGACGGUACCUGAAGAAUAAGCACCGGCUAACUACGUGCCAGCAGCCGCGGUAA